rnacentral:rRNA from 1 species
CACGUAGGGCGCAAGCGUUGUCCGGAAUUAUUGGGCGUAAAGAGCUCGUAGGCGGUCUGUUGCGUCCGCUGUGAAAACUCGGGGCUUAACCCCGAGCCUGCAGUGGAUACGGGCAGACUAGAGGUAGGUAGGGGAGAAUGGAAUUCCCGGUGUAGCGGUGAAAUGCGCAGAUAUCGGGAGGAACACCAGUGGCGAAGGCGAUCACCUGGGGUUGUUCUGACGCUGAGGAGCGAAAGCUAGGGGAGCAAACAGG